AAUUGACUUUAUCUGUCCUUCCUUCCAGCUCCCAGCCUGGGGCCUCUGCCCUGAUGCCACUACACAAUGGCCCCGCUACUCCCCACAGGUGGAAAGUUCCUCUUGAAAGCCUCCAGCAGCCUUGCUGCCUUGACUGCUCCAUAAAGCACUGGCAUGCUCUGGUCACUCUGCCCUGAGAGUUUAAUGUGAAUACUAAAGAACACUGACAGGUCCCCAUACAUCAGCUAAUUCGAGGAGCAUCUUCCUAAGGCAUUGAAAACUUCAUUAUCAUACAAAUAUGUCUCUGGCAUGGCAUUUUCCCCUGGACCACAGAAUGCAGCUAACUGUGUAGCAGAAAUUUUAAUGAAUCGGUGUCUUUCCCACCUGAGUGCUUCUGUGGAAUGCGAGGACAAGUUGGCUCCCGAAACCAGGCAUCUUGGGUAGGAGUCAGCUGAUGGUUCUUUGGCCAGUGGGAUGUUGAAGGAGAUCUGGCAACGAGACAGGACAUCUUCCACCUUCUGCCUGGGAACACUGCCAGGUUGAAGCCAACCAGAGACCUGCCAGGGAGGGGAAAUGAACCACUCAGGAAGGAAACAGAAUCGGUACCUGCAUCUACUUGGCCCUUUCACAGGUUUCUUUCCUACACCCUCCUUACUACAAUUGAUGCUACUAUGACGUGGCAUGUGAGUGAGAGAAGGAAGUGCUUUCCAGCCCAGCAUUGGGUCCACUUUGG
rnacentral:lncRNA from 1 species